GGAUAUAGACCGGAACCGAGUGAUCUAGCCAUGGCGGUGAAGGUUGAGUAACAUCAACAAUGGAGGACCGAACCGACUAAUGUUGAAAAGUUAGGCGGAAUGACUUGAUGGCUAGGGGUGAAAGGCCAAUCCAAACUCGGAGAUAGCUGGUUCUCCCCGAAAGCUAUUUAGGUAGCGCCUCGGACGAAUACGUACUGGGGGUAGAGCACUGUUAAGCUAGGGGGUCAUCCCGACUUACCAACCCUUUGCAAACUCCGAAUACCAGUAAGUACUAUCCGGGAGACACACGGCGGGUGCUAACGUCCGUCGUGGAGAGGGAAACAACCCAGACCGCCAGCUAAGGUCCCAAAUUACAGCUAAGUGG
rnacentral:rRNA from 1 species